CACGAACCGGACGAACGUUAUUCGGAAUUAUUGGGCUUAAAGGGUGCGUAGGCGGUGCGGUAAGUGAGGUGUGAAAUGCCACGGCUCAACCGUGGAAUUGCGCUUCAUACUGCCGUGCUGGAGGGAGACAGAGGUAAGCGGAACUGAUGGUGGAGCGGUGAAAUGCGUUGAUAUCAUCAGGAACACCGGUGGCGAAAGCGGCUUACUGGGUCUUCUCUGACGCUGAGGCACGAAAGCUAGGGUAGCGAACGGG
rnacentral:rRNA from 1 species